GUAAUAUUUCAUAAAAUUUUAAACUUUCUCUUCAAAUGUUUAUAUCAGUCUUUGAAACCUGUAGCUAAAUUGUCUUUUAAAUCUCUCAAUUACACAGACUACAGGAAGAUGAAGAACCAGAAGACUGCAGCAAAAAUAAGUGACCCAGGAAGAAGACCUCCAGAGGACUGCAGCAAGUCACUCUCCAUUGAAGACAUCAAGGCAGCAGCAGAGAAGAAGAACAACAGCAGGCUCAGGAUUAUGAGCACUAGGAAGAAGGCCUCCUCUGCUCAACUUUUGUAAAAAAGUUCAUUUCUGUUGUGAUGUGUUAGUUUAUCACUUUUUGGAAAAAA